GGGUUCAUAGCUCAGUUGGUUAGAGCGCUUGCUUGACAUGCAAGAGGUCGUUAGUUCGAGUCUAAUUGGACCCACCA
rnacentral:tRNA from 1 species